rnacentral:rRNA from 1 species
UACGGAGGGUGCAAGCGUUAUCCGGAUUCACUGGGUUUAAAGGGUGCGUAGGCGGCGCGGUAAGUCGGAUGUGAAAUCUCGGAGCUUAACUCCGAAACUGCAUUCGAUACUGCCGUGCUUGAGGACUGGAGAGGAGACUGGAAUUUACGGUGUAGCGGUGAAAUGCGUAGAUAUCGUAAGGAAGACCAGUGGCGAAGGCGGGUCUCUGGACAGUUCCUGACGCUGAGGCACGAAGGCCAGGGGAGCAAACGGG